rnacentral:rRNA from 1 species
UACGUAGGGUGCGAGCGUUGUCCGGAAUUAUUGGGCGUAAAGAGCUUGUAGGCGGUUUGUCGCGUCUGCUGUGAAAAUCCGGGGCUCAACCCCGGACUUGCAGUGGGUACGGGCAGACUAGAGUGUGGUAGGGGAGACUGGAAUUCCUGGUGUAGCGGUGAAAUGCGCAGAUAUCAGGAGGAACACCGGUGGCGAAGGCGGGUCUCUGGGCCGAAACUGACGCUGAGGAGCGAAAGCGUGGGGAGCGAACAGGA